rnacentral:rRNA from 1 species
UCAGCAGCCGCGGUAAUACGUAGGCAGCAAGCGUUGUUCGGAAUUACUGGGCGUAAAGAGUGUGUAGGUGGUGUCGUAAGUUUGGUGUGAAAUCUCCCGGCUUAACUGGGAGGGUGCGCCGAAGACUGCGAUGCUUGAGUAUGGGAGAGGAAAGCGGAAUUCCUGGUGUAGCGGUGAAAUGCGUAGAUAUCAGGAGGAACACCUGCGGUGUAGACGGCUUUCUGGACCAUUACUGACACUGAGACACGAAAGCGUGGGUAGCAAACAGGAUUAGAUACCCUGGUAGUCCACGCCCUAAACGAUGCAUACUUGGUGUGAGCCAUUCAG